GACUGGGUUUGAGGGGUCUACAGAGAGCUGCAGAGAAUCCCUCCCCAAGUCCCAGACAGAGAGCUACAGGCAGGGGCAGCAACCCAGGCCACAGCUGGACUUGGGCAGCGCCCUGUAGGAUUCCCAGGGAGGGACAGGGGGACCCUGGAGCACAAAUGCCUGUGAAGUAGUCGUCAGGAAGACACAGUGACCUGAUUGGGGCAUCUAAGCCCGAGGGAACCUUUCCAUGCUUGCUUCCCUACACUGGACAGCCAGACCCACUCUCCCCGACUGCUUGCACUGCAGGCUACCUGAAAUCAACGUGCACUCUGCCAGCUGCAACCCAAACAAAAGACAGAGAGCUUGCUCAGAAGCACAGAAGCAUCUGGUCUUUCUACAACCAACUCCUCCCGGAGAAUAAAAGAAUCAAAGAGGCCGGCAGUGUGCUGAAUCGAACGCCAGAGGGAGACAAACUUACAAAGGACUCUGGAUCAGAGUCUUCUGUCCUUGUUUUCCAAGGAGCCUGCCCCUCUGAGUCAUCGCUAUAGUAAGACAUGGAGCCUUGAUGUACCAGCUUCAGAGCAGAGAUCUCGUACAAUCCUGUGUUCAACUGCAGAGUAGCUGAGUUUGCAUGCACAGGAGUGAAGGUCUGCGAGGAUGCACACUAUAGACAGAGCUGACAUGCCUGCAUUUCGAUAUAUGUGAGCACGCCCACCUGCCACACCUAUGGAACACCUACAGGUAUAUUUGUAUGAGCUGGAUGCGUUCAGGGGCCCAUGGAAGAUAGAAGAUGUCAUAGGCCCUGGAGCCAGAGUAGCAGGCAGUUAUGAGCUGCAAGCCAUGGGUGCUAGGAACCACAUCGGGUCCUCUGAAAGCUCAGCAAGCACUCCCACGUGCAAGGCCAUCUCUCCAGCCCACGCUCUCUCCUUCCUCGACUUUUCAUGGACUCAACGAUACUUUCCACUGAGUUCUGUUAUCUUUCCUUUUGCUGCUGCCUUAGUUACUGUUCUAACACUGAGACACCAUGGCCAAGGCAACUUACAGAUGAAGCAUUUAAUUAGGGGCUUGCCUACAGUUUCAGAGGGAGAGUCUGUGAUCAUCACUGUGGGGAGCAAAGCAUUAGGUAAGCAGGCCUGGCACUAAAACAGUAGUAGAGGCUGACAUCCUGAUCCACAGACAGGAGGCAGACAAUGAGAGACUGGGCACGAAGUGGACUUUUGAAAGUAACCUCAAAGCUCACCUUUAAUGACAGACUUCCUCCAACAAGGCCACACCUCCUAAUCCUGCCUAAACAAUCUACCAACUGAAAACCAAACAUUCAAAUUGAUGAGCAGCCUACAUGGGGGUAGGGAGGCCCUCUCAUUCAAAUCACCAGAGUAGCAGCACAGCAUACUUAAGGUCAGAAGAACACCUGAACAGAAAUCGGCCUUUGUGUCAUUUCUAAAAGCAGGUUGCUAGACCCCACCCUAUGUACACUGAACCUCCAAAUCAGCUGUAAGAUUCCAUCUGUGAAUAAAAUACUGGGUGAUUUUACUCAAAAGCUCAAGUCACCAAACAUCCUUCUUUACCUACAUCCCAAGUGUACACAGACAUAAGAAUAGUACAGGCAUUCACUCCACCAUUCCUAUGACCACUCCUAUGAUGUUAAUAAGAAAUGUUCCCUUAAAGGCUCGUGUGUCAAACACCUGGGCCCCAGCUGCUGGCAAUGUUUUUGGGAGGUUCUAAAAAAAGUAAAGAGAUGAAACAUAUUUGGAAAAAGCAAGACUUUGAGGGUUGGACUGGUCCUGGCCAAUCUCUCAUUCUCACUUCCUGUCCACCAAGAGAGGAGCAGCCUCUGCCACAUGCUCCUCUGUCCAUGAUGCUCUCUCUGUCCAAGAGCAUAGGAUGACAAAUCACCCUGAUGUGAAAUUAUGAGUAAAAUAAAUUCCUCCUCAUUUAGUUGAUAUCACACAAUAUAACAAUGAGAAAAAGAGCUAUUACGAUAUAGCCUGUCAUGGAUUUAAUAUGAAUGGUCCCAUAGGCUCAUAUAUUUGAAUAAGUGGUCCUUAGAUAGUAGUGCCACUUGAGAGAGACCUUGGAGGUGUAACCUUGUGAGAGGAAGUGUGUCCUUGGGGGUGGGAUCUGGAUUUCAAAUGCCUAAGCUAGGCCAGUGUCUCUCUCUUCCUGCUACCUCCCAAUCUGGAUGUAGAACUCUCAGGUAUCUCUCCAGAAGCAUGUCUGCCUCCAUGCUGCCGUAUUCCCUCCAUGAUGAUAAUGGACUGGACCUCUGAACUGUAAGCCAGCCCCAAUUAAAUAUUUUCCUUU
rnacentral:lncRNA from 1 species